rnacentral:tRNA from 3 species
CGGGAUGUAGCGCAGUUUGGUAGCGCACCUGCUUUGGGAGCAGGGGGUCGCAGGUUCAAAUCCUGUCAUCCCGA